GACAGAGGUCCCGAGCGUUAGGCGGAAUCACUGGGCUUAAAGCGUGUGUAGGCGGAUCGUUAAGUACCUUGUGAAAUCCCACGGCUUAACCGUGGAACUGCUUGGUAUACUGGCGAUCUUGAGCCACUUAGGGGCUACCGGAACAAAUGGUGGAGCGGUGAAAUGCGUAGAUAUCAGGAGGAACACCGGUGGCGAAGGCGGCUACCUGGACAGAGUCUGACGCUGAGGCACGAAAGCUAGGGGAGCAAACAGG
rnacentral:rRNA from 1 species